CCCGGCCGCGCUCCUCCCUCCCCUCCCCCCUGCCGAGAGAAAAAAAUCAGGAAAUCAGCAAAAAUCAUUAUAAUAUAAAUAAUUAAAAAAAAAAAAAGGAGAAAGAAAGGGAAAGAGUGGGAUCAAGGCGUCCCGCCCCCGCGCGCCGUGGCUGCCUGGCGGCGAGCGGGGAUACCUGCCCGCACAAAGGACCGGGAGGGUGUUCCUGCCGCCCCGGAGCCGCCGCACGCCCAGCGGGCAGCGCGGCCCGGGGAAUGCCGGAGGGCGCCCCGUGCCCGUCCCCACGCCCACACGCGGAGUGUCACGGAGGGGUCGCCAGGCCUGGAGAAGCGCCCGCGAGGCGCUGCCGUCACGCCCCCUCCGCCACGGAGCUGGAGCGGAGCGGCGCAGGGGGUGGGACGGGAGCGGCGGCGGGCACCUCCCGCGGAGCGCCGGGCCCCUCGCCGGGCACGGCUGAGUAACCGCUGCCGCCCGUCCCGAAUUCCCCGGCGCGGAGCGAGGAGAAGGUGUUGCCCUUACGCGUUUUUACCCCCCGACCUCUCUCCUGCGUUUCGCUACCUGCCGCUCCCGCAUGCCGCGGUCCCACCGAGACCUCUGCGAUCGGCCCGUCCCCUGCGGGUCCCCAGAGAGCGGGAGGGGCUGCGGAAGGAAGAAGCGGUGCGCAGCCGGCAGGCAGGCUCCAUGAGGCCGGGGAUGCGGCACGGGACGCGAGGUGGCAGCGCUGAGCCUCUUCUGCCGGACGUGGGAAACGCAGAGCUAGCGAACUCGCGGUUAUUAUUUUUUUAAUUAUUUUUUCCCCCUGUGGUUUUAUGGAGCAACAUAUCGCUGCAAGUUUCUGACUGAAAUUCGGUGGGUUUGCAUCAAAGAGCGGCAGUGCCCACACAGUCAGCUGUACGCCGCCGGAACAGCAUGCGAGUAAUUCCAAAUUCUGUUGCGGGGGUUAAGGGCAGUGGCACUGACAGCACCCUUCUCACACACCGGGUCCUGCAGCUCGCGUUGUGCAUGGAGCAAGAGAGAUUGUUCAGGAACAAUACUCUGGACAAAUCUACUACAGGACUAGGUGCCGUAAGCAUUGAUUCCAGCCUUCCCAUCCCUGGAAGUGUUCAAGACGGGGUUGGAUGGGGCCCUGAGCAACAUAAUCUAGUGGGUGCUACCCCUGCCCAUGGCCGGAGGGUUAGAACUAGGUGAUCUUUAAUGUCCCCUUCGAUCCAAACCGGUCUAUGAAUCUUUGAUUCUGUGAUUGAUUGCAGGUGCUCUGUGUGAAUAAGCACGCAGUCCCCACCGGUUAAAACGUCUUAAAGACACGCAGAUUUAGCACCGCUCUUUCCCCCUCCCGCUCUUCUGUUUUAAACCGAGGAUUACCAGCGCACAGGCUCCGUUAACUGCAGCCCUUGCCGUUGGUAUUUUCCGCGCCCCCAGCUCCGUAGGCUGUGGGAAAUGCUUUGCAGCCUACUCGGUGUGAGCUUUCGGAGCAGAGCUGCCCUCCCGUGAGCGUGUUCCUGCGUGCCCUCGCCGCCGCGGAGCGCUUCCCUGCCCUGGCGCGCCGCAGCUGCUGCGGCCACCUCCUACCCCCGGCACCCUCCCCGCUCCGCAGCCGCCCCGGCCCGGCGAGCUCCCGUUCGGUAACACGCAGGUCAAUUCCACGCUGAACCCGCGUGGGCCGUGCUCACCUGCGCGGGAGGGGCAGGGCUCUGACCAGCACGCGUCUGAGCAGGGACAUCCGAGGGUCGUCCAGCGAUCCUAGGGCAUGCUGCGGAGAAUGAAUGAAUGAAAGGCGAUUCACAAACAUCUUGCUUCCCGUGCACCCUUGCCAGGCAUCCACAGGGUGGGGAGAGGUGGCAUCUUAUUUAUCUUGUUGUAAGCCCUCUAUUAUUUCAGGGUGUUUUCCUCUCUGCGAGCAAAAUUCACCUCCGUAACACAUAUUUUUCCUGACAUUCUGUGCCACAUUUGAAAUAGGUGUUUCGGGUUACUUUAGCCUUCUUUAACUGCAAAUGACAAGGCCAGAGCAGAGGUAUGCUGCUGAAGAACACAUUCCUUGCGACCUUUCUACCGCCUAUUUUGAUCCAAAGAAAAUAAGGUAGAUGAAAUACUUGCCAUUAAGGUGGAAAAAAUAAAAAAAGCCAUGGCUUUUGAAAUAACA
ensembl:lncRNA